CUCUCUCUCUCUCUCUCUCUCUCCUUCCCUCCCUCCCAAGAAAGCCUUCAAGGAGUAGGGGCCAUCGUCAACUCCGUUCCCCACUGCCGAUCUUGGAUUCUUCGUCAACCGAAACCCACUUUCGAUCUCAGAUUCCUUGUCGACCGAAACCCACUCCCUUUCUUGGAUUCCUAUCCACGCGAUCCCUCCACCAUGUUUCUGCAAAAAUGGAAAUGAGAGACGUAUGAAAGUUGUUUGAUGAAAGGCUUCAAAGAGCCACAAGUUAAAAUCACAUUCAAACAAACUCUACUCAUUACCUCAAUAUUUACUUGGACACGGGGGCUAGAACAUUGUCACAUAGACUACACAAAAUUUUGUUACUACAUAGAAUAUACCAAAUUUUGUGCA